CCCCCACCCCCAGCUGAGUGGAGGAGUUGAUGUGUCUCAUUAUAACAGCCAAUGCAGCCGCCAUCCACGCACAGGCGAAGCAGCAUGGCCCAUUUAAAUACACCCACGCAGCCCCGGCGCCCUUAGCCGAUCGGGGCGCGCAGCCCACACGCAUCGCGGCUCCCGGCUUCGGAGACCCACGCGCGGCCGGGCUCCCCGGACCCGGCGGCCAGGCGCGCGGAGGAGGAUCGGGAUCCGGAGGAUCGGGGUCCGGCGCUGUGGAUCGAUCCCGUGGGGGCGGCGGGGGGACUGGGCCCGGGGGCCUUGGGCGCGACACCCGCAUGAAGAAGAAGACGCGAGUGAAAUAGACCCCAAGGUGGCCUUUCCAAGGGAGGACGAACAGCCUUCGGGGUGGUGGUUUUGGUCCAUUUCUCCGGCGAAGAAGUCGACAUGGCGAGCGACUCCCCGGCUCGCAGCCUGGAUGAGAUCGAUCUCUCGGCUCUGAGGGAUCCUGCAGGGAUCUUUGAAUUGGUGGAACUUGUUGGAAAUGGAACAUAUGGGCAAGUGUAUAAGGGUCGCCAUGUCAAAACAGGCCAGCUUGCAGCCAUUAAGGUUAUGGAUGUCACAGGGGAUGAAGAAGAAGAAAUUAAACAAGAAAUUAACAUGUUGAAAAAAUAUUCUCACCACCGGAAUAUUGCUACAUACUAUGGUGCUUUUAUCAAAAAGAACCCACCUGGCAUGGAUGACCAACUCUGGUUGGUGAUGGAGUUUUGUGGAGCUGGCUCUGUCACUGACCUGAUCAAGAACACGAAAGGUAACACCUUGAAGGAGGAGUGGAUUGCAUACAUCUGCAGGGAGAUCUUACGAGGGCUGAGUCACCUGCACCAGCAUAAAGUGAUUCAUCGAGAUAUUAAAGGGCAAAAUGUCUUGCUGACUGAAAAUGCAGAAGUUAAACUAGUGGACUUUGGAGUCAGUGCCCAGCUGGAUCGAACAGUGGGCAGGAGGAAUACCUUCAUCGGUACUCCCUACUGGAUGGCACCGGAAGUUAUCGCCUGCGACGAAAACCCGGAUGCCACGUAUGAUUUCAAGAGUGACUUGUGGUCUCUGGGAAUCACCGCUAUCGAGAUGGCAGAAGGUGCUCCCCCUCUUUGUGACAUGCACCCGAUGCGAGCCCUCUUCCUCAUCCCCCGGAACCCUGCACCGAGGCUGAAGUCUAAGAAAUGGUCAAAGAAAUUCCAGUCAUUUAUUGAGAGCUGCUUGGUGAAGAAUCAUAGCCAGCGACCAGCAACAGAGCAACUGAUGAAGCACCCGUUUAUACGAGACCAACCUAAUGAACGACAGGUUCGCAUUCAACUCAAGGACCAUAUCGAUAGAACAAAGAAGAAGCGAGGCGAGAAAGAUGAGACCGAAUACGAGUACAGCGGAAGUGAGGAAGAAGAGGAGGAGAAUGACUCGGGAGAGCCCAGCUCCAUUCUGAACCUGCCAGGAGAGUCGACCCUGCGGCGGGACUUCCUGCGGCUGCAGCUGGCCAACAAGGAGCGGUCCGAGGCGCUGCGGAGGCAGCAGCUGGAGCAGCAGCAGCGGGAGAACGAGGAGCACAAGCGGCAGCUGCUGGCCGAGCGCCAGAAGCGCAUCGAGGAGCAGAAGGAGCAGCGGCGGCGGCUGGAGGAGCAACAAAGGCGCGAGAAGGAGCUGCGGAAGCAGCAGGAGCGGGAGCAGCGCCGGCACUAUGAGGAGCAGAUGCGCCGGGAGGAGGAGCGGAGGCGCGCGGAGCAUGAGCAGGAGUACAUCAGGCGACAGUUAGAGGAGGAGCAGAGACAGUUAGAGAUCUUGCAGCAGCAGCUACUGCAUGAACAAGCUCUACUUCUGGAAUAUAAGCGCAAACAAUUGGAAGAACAGAGACAAGCGGAAAGACUGCAGAGACAGCUAAAGCAAGAGAGAGACUACUUGGUUUCCCUUCAGCAUCAAAGGCAGGAGCAGAGGCCUGUGGAGAAGAAGCCGCUGUACCAUUACAAAGAGGGAAUGAGUCCUAGUGAGAAGCCAGCGUGGGCCAAGGAGGUAGAAGAACGGACCAGGCUUAACCGGCAGAGUUCACCUGCCAUGCCUCACAAGGUUGCCAACAGGAUAUCUGACCCCAAUCUGCCCCCAAGGUCGGAGUCCUUCAGUAUCAGUGGGGUUCAGCCUGCUCGGACCCCCCCUAUGCUCAGACCAGUUGAUCCACAGAUCCCACAUCUGGUAGCUGUAAAGUCCCAAGGACCUGCCUUGACCGCCUCCCAGUCAGUGCACGAGCAGCCCACCAAGGGCCUCUCCGGGUUUCAGGAGGCUCUGAACGUGACCUCGCACCGCGUUGAGAUGCCACGCCAGAACUCGGAUCCCACCUCGGAAAACCCUCCUCUCCCCACUCGCAUUGAGAAGUUUGACAGAAGCUCUUGGUUACGACAGGAAGAAGACAUUCCACCAAAGGUGCCUCAAAGAACAACUUCUAUAUCCCCAGCGUUAGCCAGAAAGAACUCUCCUGGAAAUGGUAGUGCUCUUGGACCCAGACUAGGAUCUCAGCCCAUCAGAGCAAGCAACCCUGACCUGAGGAGAACUGAGCCCAUCUUGGAGAGCCCCUUGCAGAGGACCAGCAGUGGCAGUUCGUCCAGCUCCAGCACCCCCAGCUCCCAGCCCAGCUCCCAAGGCGGCUCACAGCCCGGAUCGCAAGCAGGGUCCAGUGAACGGACCAGGGUUCGAGCCAACAGCAAGUCGGAAGGAUCACCUGUGCUCCCCCAUGAGCCUUCCAAGGUGAAGCCAGAAGAAUCCAGAGACAUUACCCGAUCUGGUCGACCAGCUAGCUAUAAGAAAGCGAUAGAUGAGGAUCUGACGGCGUUAGCCAAAGAAUUACGAGAACUCCGGAUUGAAGAAACAAACCGCCCGCUGAAGAAAGUGACCGAUUACUCCUCCUCCAGCGAGGAGUCGGAAAGCAGUGAUGAAGAGGAGGAAGAUGGAGAGAGCGAGACCCAGGACGGGACGGUGGCUGUCAGUGACAUACCCAGACUGAUACCGACAGGAGCUCCCGGGGGCACAGAGCAGUACAAUGUGGGCAUGGUUGGCUCGCACGGGCUGGAGACCUCUCACCCGGACACUUUCAGCAGCAGUAUUUCAAGAGAAGGAACCUUGAUGAUAAGAGAGACAUCUGGAGAGAAGAAGCGAUCUGGCCACAGUGACAGCAAUGGCUUUGCCGGUCACAUCAACCUCCCGGACCUGGUGCAGCAAAGUCGUUCCCCAGCCGGAACCCCCACUGAGGGCCUGGGACGUGUCUCUACCCUUUCACAGGAAAUGGACUCUGGGUCUGAAUAUGGUAUGGGGAGCAGCACUAAAGCAUCCUUCACCCCCUUUGUGGACCCCAGAGUAUAUCAGACCUCUCCCACCGAUGAAGACGAAGAAGAUGAAGAAUCAUCAGCCACGGCUCUAUUUAGUAGCGAACUUCUUAGGCAAGAACAGGCCAAGCUCAAUGAAGCCAGAAAGAUUUCAGUAGUCAACGUAAAUCCAACCAACAUCCGGCCCCAUAGCGACACACCAGAAAUCAGAAAAUACAAGAAACGCUUCAACUCAGAGAUACUUUGUGCAGCGCUGUGGGGUGUGAACCUCCUGGUGGGAACUGAAAAUGGCCUGAUGCUUUUGGACCGAAGCGGGCAAGGCAAAGUCUAUAAUCUGAUCAACCGGAGGCGAUUUCAGCAGAUGGAUGUGCUCGAGGGACUGAAUGUCCUCGUGACAAUAUCAGGAAAGAAGAAUAAGCUACGAGUUUACUAUCUUUCAUGGCUAAGAAACAGAAUUCUACACAAUGACCCGGAAGUGGAAAAGAAACAAGGCUGGAUCACUGUUGGGGACUUAGAAGGCUGUAUACAUUACAAAGUUGUUAAAUAUGAAAGGAUCAAAUUCUUGGUGAUUGCCUUAAAGAAUGCCGUGGAGAUAUAUGCUUGGGCUCCCAAACCUUAUCAUAAGUUCAUGGCAUUUAAGUCUUUUUCAGAUCUCCAGCACAAGCCACUGCUUGUGGAUCUCACAGUAGAAGAAGGUCAAAGAUUAAAGGUUAUUUUCGGUUCACACACUGGUUUCCAUGUAAUUGAUGUUGAUUCAGGAAACUCUUAUGAUAUCUACAUACCAUCUCAUAUUCAGGGCAAUAUCACUCCUCAUGCCAUUGUCAUCUUGCCUAAAACAGAUGGGAUGGAAAUGCUUGUUUGCUAUGAGGAUGAGGGGGUGUAUGUGAACACCUACGGCCGGAUAACUAAGGAUGUGGUGCUCCAAUGGGGAGAAAUGCCCACGUCCGUGGUUUUGGAAAUUCCUUUUGACAGCCUACAUUCAUUCCAAUCAGAUAAUGGGCUGGGGCGAGAAAGCUAUUGAGAUCCGGUCAGUGGAAACAGGACAUUUGGAUGGAGUAUUUAUGCAUAAGCGAGCUCAAAGGUUAAAGUUUCUAUGUGAAAGAAAUGAUAAGGUAUUUUUUGCAUCCGUGCGAUCUGGAGGAAGUAGCCAAGUGUUUUUCAUGACCCUCAACAGAAAUUCCAUGAUGAACUGGUAACGGAAGAGCACUUGGCACUUAUCUUCAUGGCGUUAUUUCUAAUUUUAAAAAAGAACAUAACUCAUGUGGACUUAUGCCAGUCUAGAGGCAGAAUCAGAAGGCUUGGUUGAACAUAUCGCUUUCCCCUUUCCUCUCCCUCCACUCGUCCCAAUACAGUCCAUCUUUCAAUGUUGCAGCCUGGUUGAGAAGGAGAGAAAAGGGUGGCAGGAAUUUCCAGGAGAUCCCCAAGAAUGCUGCAUUGUCUGUGGACAAAGAUGGACCAUGUGCCCUUCGGAGUUAGGGAUAGAAACAAAUAUUGUGUGCUCUUAUGAUUAAGCUGUGUUAUGGUGGAUUCUAAGUUUUGUUUUGGUUUUUUGUUAAACCUUUUUUUCUUUACCCCCUUACUUUGUAAGAAUGGGGAGAGAAUGCAUACUGAGAAAAUUAGUCUGAUUUUAAUUCUGUCUGCCUGCUAGAUUUAAAUAUACAUAUGUUGUAAAAUUUCCAAUUUCAAAUUGUGAGAGACAGCACAAUAAAUGUACCUUAUCUCCUCACACUGAAGGCCAUAACUGCACAGUGGGGUGAUUUUAGAACUCUUUUGCCUUCACCAACCCAAAAAGGUUGCUUUUUGGUAGCAACUGGCUAAUGAAUUUUUAAGAGAAGAAAAAUACUGUGCUAGUUUUCCCCUCUUUGGGGAAAUAGAUUUUAAAUGGCUAAACUACUAGCCUUACACUAAUAAAAUCAACUGCCAUUUUUGUGAGUCUGACAGGCCCUAUUUUUAUAUGGCCCUGUACAGCAUGGAGUGUGUUGAAUGGGAUAGUAGUGUCAUUGAGUUGAGUUGGCUCUAGUGAUUGGGGGAUCCCAUAACACAAUUUUCCCUCAGCUAUUAUGCAACAAGUCAGGGCAAAAGAUGGGGUGACAGAUGAGGUCAAACAGAAAGAGCUUCUGGGAAACAAGCUAAAAAAAAAAAAAUACAUACACACACAAUCUUUUUUUUUUUAAUGUACAAGGCCUCCUGGCUAAGAGAUCACUCAGUUUGAGCUUCGUUAAGAAUGAGACUUUGUUGAGUUCUGAUUGGGGAGUGAAUGACAUCCAGGCUCCAGUCAUUCCCAGCUUUCUCCUGACAAUGCCACUUUCUCAAGAUGAAAACUGUGACUGAAAAGAAGAAUAAAUGUUUCUGAGCUGCCUGUGUUCUCUUGGGUUGGUGAGAGAAGGGACGAGACUACUAUGCCUGCCUGAGGCAGUAGGCAGCCUUGGUUCAGAUUUUACCGAACGUGAAAGCAAGGCUUUGGCCAAAACUCUGAGACCCUAAUCAUUUUACCUUCCUCCAAAUUACCCAACAUAUGGUAAGCAACAUUUGUGCAGAGAUAUGUGUAUAUUUAGUUCAGGUUGACUUGUGUCCUUAUAAACUCUUACUCAGAUGAUUUGAACUUUUGUGUGACUGUCUGGGAUUUUUUUUUUUUUUUUCAAAGCUACAAGCAUGGCCACCUGUGGUACCGAGGUGUUGCAAAACAAUCUCUGUGUUGCGCUUCCUGUUUUAACCUACCUCGUUUUGUUCGUUUUGUUUCACUGUUCAUCACAGCAGUGUUAUCUCCAGGAGACAUAUAGAGAGCUCAACUGGCAAUCUCAGGUGUAUUUAAUAUUUUUUCAACAAAACAGUAGUUGACCAAAUUGUUAUUCUUGAAAAUUAAAAAAAAAAUAAAAAAUCAACAACAGAAAUGAAUGUGGCUUGUUUCUGGAAAAAAAUAACUACUAUUAACAGAUUUUAAAAAUCUGUGAUCCUACUGAUUUUGCCUAAAUACAUGAGCAGCGGAUGUACUAUUAAUGAGAACGAAAUUCACAUUAGGAAAAUGGAGCCAUUUCAAUCUGGUGUUUGGGGAAGGGGGGAAGGAGGGGGAAUUAUUCUCAUUCCUGAAGUAGGUGAUUAUGCACCCCCCUCCCGUAAAGGUGGUUGUCAUUUGCAUUUAUUUUAAGUAGAUAAUACACAGGAAUGGAAUUGAGGAUUAUCUUUAGAUGAUCACCAAGAUGUCCUCAUCAUGGUCUCCUUAGCUCUCAAAAGCAAUGAAAUCCUCCUGUUCUCAUUUUUACUGCUGUGAUUCUGCUGCUGAAUGAUACUGUCUUUUCAAAUUCCAUGCAAAAAAUUCAGCAAUAAACUUUUUUGAUUGAAUUUAGCAACCAUUAUAAUUGGACGCCAAUGUGGACAAAAUAUAUUUGAUUUGGGUCUCAUCUCCGAAUGUGAUUGCCACCAGCUCUUUAUAUUGCUGCUGUGGUAUUUUAAACCAGAAGCUUCUUUAAAUUAUGUUGCAAACUGAUUUCUGUUUUUAUGUUAUGUUCUGUUUUUAUUUCUAAGUGAUAAGUUUGAAACACACAGCUUUAAAUGAUUUUUUUAUUGUGGGAUGUGGGGUACAGUUAAGAAAUAAAAGGGAAUCAUUGUGUUUAAACAUAAGGUAGUUUGUGAAUGUAUUUUUUAAAAUCUAGAUUCAUUGAAACAAAAACUCAUAAGAAAACAAUAUUAAUGAAGUCUUGUUUACAGUAUGUACAGUGACAUAACAUAGAACAUGAGCUUUUUCUGGUGCCAACAACAAUAAAACACAGACGUGAAACAUCAA